rnacentral:tRNA from 1 species
GGGCUGGGGCUCAGUGGUAGAGCGCUUGCCUAGCAUGUGUGAGGCACUGGGUUCAAUCCCCAGCACCACA